CCGGGGGGGGUUGCUAAUACAUGCAAGUCGAGCGGACUUUAAAAGCUUGCUUUUAAAGUUAGCGGCGGACGGGUGAGUAACACGUGGGCAACCUGCCUGUAAGACUGGGAUAACUUCGGGAAACCGGAGCUAAUACCGGAUAAUCCUUUUCUACUCAUGUAGAAAAGCUGAAAGACGGUUUACGCUGUCACUUACAGAUGGGCCCGCGGCGCAUUAGCUAGUUGGUGAGGUAACGGCUCACCAAGGCAACGAUGCGUAGCCGACCUGAGAGGGUGAUCGGCCACACUGGGACUGAGACACGGCCCAGACUCCUACGGGAGGCAGCAGUAGGGAAUCUUCCGCAAUGGACGAAAGUCUGACGGAGCAACGCCGCGUGAGUGAUGAAGGUUUUCGGAUCGUAAAACUCUGUUGUUAGGGAAGAACAAGUACAAGAGUAACUGCUUGUACCUUGACGGUACCUAACCAGAAAGCCACGGCUAACUACGUGCCAGCAGCCGCGGUAAUACGUAGGUGGCAAGCGUUGUCCGGAAUUAUUGGGCGUAAAGCGCGCGCAGGCGGUCCUUUAAGUCUGAUGUGAAAGCCCACGGCUCAACCGUGGAGGGUCAUUGGAAACUGGGGGACUUGAGUGCAGAAGAGAAGAGUGGAAUUCCACGUGUAGCGGUGAAAUGCGUAGAGAUGUGGAGGAACACCAGUGGCGAAGGCGACUCUUUGGUCUGUAACUGACGCUGAGGCGCGAAAGCGUGGGGAGCAAACAGGAUUAGAUACCCUGGUAGUCCACGCCGUAAACGAUGAGUGCUAAGUGUUAGAGGGUUUCCGCCCUUUAGUGCUGCAGCAAACGCAUUAGCACUCCGCCUGGGGAGUACGGCCGCAAGGCUGAAACUCAAAGGAAUUGACGGGGGCCCGCACAAGCGGUGGAGCAUGUGGGUUAAUUCGAAGCAACGCGAAGAACCAUACCAAGUCUUGACAUCCUCUGACACUCCUAGAGAUAGGACGUUCCCCUUCGGGGGAACAGAGUGACAGGUGUUGCAUGGAUUGUC
rnacentral:rRNA from 2 species